CCAAUAGCGUAUAUUAAAGUUGUUGCAGUUAAAAAGCUCGUAGUUGGAUUUCGGGGUUAGUAGGUUGGUCAUGCCUCUGGUAUGUACUGGUCUCACUGAUUCCUCCUUCCUGAUGAACCGUAAUGCCAUUAAUUUGGUGUUGCGGGGAAUUUGGACUGUUACUUUGAAAAAAUUAGAGCGUUUAAAGCAAGGUAACGCUUGAAUACAUUAGCAUGGAAUAAUGAAAUAGGACGUUCGAUCCUAUUUUGUUGGUUUCUAGGAUUGACGUAAUGAUUAAUAGGGAUAAUUGGGGGCAUUAGUAUUCAAUUGUCAGAGGUGAAAUUCUUGGAUUUAUUGAAGACUAACUACUGCGAAAGCAUUUGCCAAGGAUGUUUUCAUUAAUCAAGAACGAAAGUUAGGGGACCGAAGACGAUCAGAUACCGUCGUAGUCUUAACCAUAAACUAUGCCGACUAGGGAUCGGAUGAUGUUAAUUUUUUAAUGACUCAUUCGGCGCCUUACG
rnacentral:rRNA from 1 species